UUGGGGAAAUCGCUUCAAAACACCACUAAAGAUCUAAAAGGAAGUUUGCGAUAAAGCAUUAGUCUAAAGUCUUCCGGAAAGCUCAUUCUGAACGGACCUCUCAAGGGUCUUUGGUGAAAUUCAAGAUUUAAAAGUGUUCACACGAAGAAGUCUUGAGUGUGGUUCCUAUCUAGAUGUAUUAACUUUACACAAAAUGACGGUUUGUCCUUCUCGUCGCACUUAAGAACUUAGGAAGCAUUGUAUUAUCCUUUAUAUAACUGGCAACUGUGGGUGCUAUUGGUCUACUGUACUGUGUGAAGGUUACAGUAAAACACUUGGAAGUUACAUCCUUCACUGAAAGUUCUGCAGUUUAGUCAACAWUAUCUCAGCAAUCUCGGAUGGUUUGGUGCACUAAUCAACUUUUUUGAAUCAACAAUUUUGUUGAACUAAAAUGACGGCUUAUCAAAGUCCAGGACAGGAGAAUUUUCUACAUUUGCAGUAGAUUUACUUUCUUCAGCUAGUAUAAAGUGGAAACGGCUUUGCUUUGUGUACCAGAUUUGAAUAAGAAUUAAUCCUUGAAAGUAAGAUAGCAAACAGUUGGUUAUCCCUUUAACAUUMGCGACGACAACAAAUGACAAUCGUGUUUAGAUAAAAAAGCUUAAACUUCAGAGACGGUGUUUUGAAGRAUUGCUUUGGACAUCAUAACCAUUUCCAUUGUCAACAUUGAUAUUAGAACGUGAAACAAAGCAUGUAAAAUGCUUAAUCCCUAAGUGAAUCAAAUACGAACGAAAGCUAAACAUAAGCACCGUUCUUUAAACGUCUGUGUCGUUCUGUCGAAAAUGCUUUUAAGAUCCCAUGUAAACAUUGCCGAUGGCAGUUGAGUUAACAACACAGCCUUGUUUAGAGCACUGACUUGUUAAAACCUUUAGAGAAGAGAUUAAUUCUUUAGAGAAGCAAUCAACUACCUCACUACUUUUGACACCAAAACUUCUGACAUCAKUUUUCCCGCCUAAAUUGCAUGCGCGCGUGAU